GGAUUAGGCAUGCAAGUCGAACGAGAACGGUUUCGCAAGAGACCAAGUAAAGUGGCGGAAGGGCGAGUAAUGCAUAGAUAACCUACCCCUGAAAUGGGAAUAACUAUUCGAAAGGAUAGCUAAUACCCAAUAAGACCACGGGUCGCAUGGCCUGUGCUUAAAGACGGGGACCCGCAAGGGCCUUUCGUUCAGGGAGGGGUUUAUGUCCUAUCAGCUAGUUGGUGAGGUAACGGCUCACCAAGGCUAUGACGGGUAGCCGACCUGAGAGGGUGACCGGCCGCACUGGGACUGAGACACUGCCCAGACUCCUACGGGAGGCUGCAGUCGAGGAUCUUCCGCAAUGCGCGAAAGCGUGACGGAGCGACGCCGCGUGGGUGAUGAAGGCCUUCGGGUUGUAAAGCCCUGUCAACUGGGAAGAAUGGCGGGAGGUGAAUAGCCAUCUCGUCUGACGCUACCAGUGAAGGAAGCACCGGCUAAAUACGUGCCAGCAGCCGCGGUAAUACGUAUGGUGCGAACGUUGUUCGGAAUCACUGGGCAUAAAGAGCACGUAGGCGGUUGAGCAAGUCCAUUGUGAAAUCCCCCGGCCUAACCGGGGAACUGCAGUGGAUACUACUUGACUUGAGUGCAGAAGGGGAGAGUGGAAUUCCUGGUGGAGCGGUGAAAUGCGUAGAUAUCAGGAGGAACGCCGGUGGCGAAAGCGACUCUCUGGUCUGCUACUGACGCUGAGGUGCGAAAGCUAGGGGAGCAAACGGAAUUAGAUACCCCGGUAGUCCUAGCCCUAAACGAUGGGCACUAAGUAGAGGGGUUUU
rnacentral:rRNA from 1 species